UGGCCUACGGGGGGCAGCAGUGGGGGAUAUUGCACAAUGGGGGGAACCCUGAUGCAGCGACGCCGCGUGGGUGAAGGAGCGUUUCGGCGCGUAAAGCCCUAUCGGCAGGGAAGAAGAUGACGGUACCUGACCAAGAAGCCCCGGCUAACUACGAGCCAGCAGCCGCGGAAAUACGUAGGGGGCAAGCGUUAUCCGGAUUUACUGGGUGUAAAGGGGGCGCAGACGGCCAUGCAAGCCCGGAGGGAAAGCUCGGCGCCCAACCCCGGGAC
rnacentral:rRNA from 1 species